GAUGAACGCUGGCGGCGUGCUUAAUACAUGCAAGUCGAACGGAAAGGCCCUGCUUUUGUGGGGUGCUCGAGUGGCGAACGGGUGAGUAACACGUGAGUAACAUGCCCUUGACUUUGGGAUAACAUCAGGAAACUGGGGCUAAUACCGCAUAGGAGCUCCUGAUGCAUGGUGGGGGUUGGAAAGUUUCGGCGGUUGGGGCUGGACUAGCGGGUUAUCAGCUUGUUGGUCGGGUAGUGGAUGACCAAGGCUUUGAAGGGUAGCCGGCCUGAGAGGGUGACCGGCCACAUUGGUACUGAGAGACGCACCAGUCUCCUACGGGAGGCAGAAGUGGGGAAUAUUGCACAAGGAGCGGAAGCCUGAUGCAGCAACGCCGCGUGCGGGAUGACGGCCUUCGUGGUGUAAACCGCUUUCGCCUGUGACGAAGCGGUAGUGACGGUAAUGGGUAAAGAAGCACCGGCUAACUACGUG
rnacentral:rRNA from 1 species